CCACACUUCAUGCAUUGACUCAUUCUCAUAUUGAGUGAAAAUGAAAAUGUUAGCUCUAAGCUUUCCUAGAGGAAAUUAUUUGCUAUGAAAUUUGGUUGUCAUUUCAUUUGCUCCCAAGUUGUAAUGGAGCCUCGUUCCAAAACCACCACAUCAUUGCCUUGAACACCAUUAUGCUUUAUGGUGUUGACGAUUCUAAAAAAAUUCUUCAGAUUCAUGUUGGGGUCUUCAAAAGGUAAACCUCUAAACUACACCUCUAUUAUAGCUAGUAAUAAAAAAUCUUCAUUAUUAGAUUGAUUAAAAUCAUUAGGUUAUUUAGAUAGAUAAGUGUCAAUAAUAAACUGACUUGGAAAAAAACUUUCUCACUUGAUAUUAAACUAAUAAUGAAAGAAAGUUAAGUGAUAUUAAUGAAUCAAAUAUUUAUACUUCAUAAUUUAUCGAUCACUUACUCUAAUGCUAUCAAUAUUCAUCAUGGCCAAUAAAAUAUUAAUUAGUCUUUCUCUUAAUCCAUUGCCUUCAAUAUCGUGUAAGUAAGAUAAUAGUAACAAAAAGAUUUAAGACGUGGCAAAUUUGUUGAUUUAUCUGCUCAUUGAAUUAAAGGAAUCAAGUUAGGGUCAAAACCACACUCAAAACCAAAAUUAUUAAAAACGACAUGUUGGUUAAUCACGGUACGAUUACUUAAUUGCUAUGUUUGUUCCUAUAUAUAAGAUUAUGUUGGC
rnacentral:lncRNA from 1 species